ensembl:lncRNA
GGGCUAAGCGUCUCUGUGACGAGAGGGGUGGGGCUGAGAGCGGCAGUAUGACGCCAGAAGAUCCAGGAUGUCUCCACCAUCGACAGUUUCCAAUCUUUCAUCCAGGACAAAGGGUCUGGCUAUCCACCCGGGACCUCUGGCUCCUACUUCCCAGCAAGAAACUAAGUCCCAGGUACAUUGGCCCCUUUAAAAUAAUGCAACAAAUAAAUCCUGUCACAUACAAACUACUACUCCCUGCUCAUUAUCGUGUCUCCUCUGUCUUUCAUGUCAAAACUGACUGGAUUGAGGGGCCAUCGACCCAUGGAUGACUCCACUCCUCCACCCCCACUGGUCCUGAAUGGCCAGACUCCCUACAAGAUACCACUUGGGAACAGAAAAAGCAUGAGAGAGAAGGGGUGGAGUACCACUUUGACUCCAAACACACUUUUGAAAAAGAUAUUCUCAACCACAAGCAUAGCAGCCUUAUACACCUCCGAGUUUAAACCCUAUGUUGUAUUUGUGAAGCCCCCAUCAGUAGAUCGCUUGAGACUGAGUCGAAGAAAUGCAAAAGUACUGUCAAGUCAGAAUGAACAAGCACUUACAAAAAUAUUUACGGAGGAAGACUUUCAGGAUAUGGUUACCAGUGCCUAAGCCAUGGAGAAUAACUACGGCCACUUGUUUGAGAAUGUGAUCAUCAAUGACGACCUGGCCAUGGCAUUCACUGAGCUGAGCUGAGAGACGAACUCGCAAAGAUAGAAACAGAGACUCACUGGAUCCCAAAUACAUGGGCUCAUGUCUGAAAAGCAAUUCAUGUUCACCGAACCACUCUGACACAUGAUAACUUUUGACUAUGUUUUGGAGAUUUUCUGCAUAUAAUAAAGGCACACCAUUUUAUUGUAAUUAUAUGCUUAUAAGCAGUGUGUGCUGGAAGGUCAUGAAUCAGCUCCAUUCAUAACCGCCAAACUCAUGACACUGACCUGAAGUUGAAAUAGUUGUUUAUGUUGAGAAACAAGUAAUUCUAAAGAAUUUUAUCUCCCCCUAAUUCCUACAUAAUGAUAUACAUUAUGCUGUUUUACUAGAUGAUUUCUAUACAGAUAUUUCUUUGUGCACUGUUGUGGUUCCUGUUUUGACAUUAAUCACUUACAGACAUGGAUUUUCCAUUGAAAAGAUGUGUUCUCAAUUUGGUUUAAGUGAGGUGGAGUACUACAGUUUCUCUUUUUUAUAUAAUUUGUGACUACAAGAUUGAAAUCUGGAUUAGACCUCUGAAUCACAUCCAGGUAGCUCUAUGUACCGAACAGUUCCUAUCCAAGAUUAGAUUUGUUCCUGACAUUGAACUCAGGGCUUUACAGUGAUUUAAAUGCUUUAGUGUUCUUGAAGAAUAUUAACAUUUGCAGGUAUACAAGGUGAUCCACGAGUCAACCUCUCAAGAGGAUCAAUCCAAAGCACCUCAACCUCAAGUUUUUUAAGGAUUUAAACUAGCACAGAGUGACUCCCAUGGCAAUUCCUCCCAAAAAUUGCAUUUGAAAAGUUGAGAUGACAUGGCAGUUAAGAAGAAGACGCUUCCUCAUGGUGACCUUAGUUGUUUCUACGGAGGCCAGAAGAGGAAGUGGAGUUUAUUUUCACCAGCUCUCAGUAUAUUAAAGUAGAAUUAAAGAGCAACGGGAGAGUUUCUAGGGUUGCACUGGAUGGCUGCAUGAUCAGCACAAGGGACUCAACACAUAGCUGCCUGUAACUUUCAGUGAAGCCAAAAUGAAUGGAAGCUUGAAAUGGAGAAGCAGACUUUAGAUGUGGUAUGUCAGAUUCUUUUUAA